AACGCUGGCGGCAGGCCUAACACAUGCAAGUCGAGCGCCGUAGCAAUACGGAGCGGCAGACGGGAGAGUAACACGUGGGAACGUGCCCUUCAGUUCGGAACAACCCAGGGAAACUUGGGCUAAUACCGGAUACGUCCGUAAGGAGAAAGAUUUAUCGCUGAAGGAUCGGCCCGCGUCUGAUUAGCUAGUUGGUGGGGUAAUGGCCCACCAAGGCGACGAUCAGUAGCUGGUCUGAGAGGAUGAUCAGCCUCACUGGGACUGAGACACGGCCCAGACUCCUACGGGAGGCAGCAGUGGGGAAUAUUGGACAAUGGGCGCAAGCCUGAUCCUGCCAUGCCGCGUGGGUGAUGAAGGCCUUAGGGUUGUAAAGCCCUUUCGGCGGGGAAGAUAAUGACGGUACCCGCAGAAGAAGCCCCGGCUAACUUCGUGCCAGCAGCCGCGGUAAUGCGAAGGGGGCUAGCGUUGCUCGGAAUCACUGGGCGUAAAGCGCACGUAGGCGGCCUUUUAAGUCAGGGGUGAAAUCCUGGAGCUCAACUCCAGAACUGCCUUUGAUACUGA
rnacentral:rRNA from 1 species